rnacentral:tRNA from 1 species
GAGGGUAUAGCUCAAUGGUAUAGAGUGCCUGUUUACCAUGCAUGACAUCCUGGGUUCAAUCCCCAGUACCUCCA